GACGAACGCUGGCGGCGUGCUUAACACAUGCAAGUCGAACGAAGUGGCGAACGGGUGAGUAACGCGUAAUCAACCUGCCCUUCAGAGGGGAACACCAGUUGGAAACGACUGCUCAUACCGCAUACUGAAGGAGGGGAUUGCGUCGGAUUAGCUAGUUGGAGGGGUAAUGGCCCACCAAGGCGAUGAUCAGUAGGCGGUCGUAUAGGAUGAACGGCCAAAUUGGGACGUAGACACGGCCCAGACUCCGACGGGAGGCAGCAGUGGGGAAUCUUCCGAAAUUGACGAAAGUCUGACGGAGCAACGCCGCGUGAGGGAUGACGGCCUUCGGGUUGUAAAGCUCUGUUAAUCGGGACGCGGUACCGGAAUAGAAAGCCACGGCUAACUACGUGCCAGCAGCCGCGGUAAUAC
rnacentral:rRNA from 1 species